GCAUCAAAAGGCAGGGGACUAAGGGAGAAAAAAAAAGUGUCGCAAAACUCAAGAUUUCUCCUCAGACAAUGAAGAAGAGGUGAAGAAGCUGUCAAUGAAAAAGCAAGCACAUCAGUUGAAAACGAAAAACCUGAGUAGCUGGUGUGUGCGGUCACCAAAAUGCCGGAGGAUUUAAAGAGAGAGGACUUUGUUGAUCUAAGCUUUGGUGUUCAGGUGGCCAAGGAGAAGUUCCUGAUCAACAACAAAAAACAAGACCUGAUUGAGGUGCUCUUCACCAGGGAGGAGAUGGUGUUGUUCUCCGUGUCGGGCAGGAAAUCAAACAUCGUUCAAGAUUCUGUGACAAAGCCAGCUUUGUCAAGCAACAAAGUGCUCGCUCUUGUUGGUAUGACUCUAAUGAGCUAUGCUUAAAAUUGGUACAUCGUUUUUUAUUCCAAUUUUGAUGUAGAUCUUCCUUAUGACGUUGCUUUCGCAACACUCACAUGGCAUUUUCCCUUUGGGAAUCCAAUGGUAAUUUUUAUAGGGGAUCCAGCACGUCCAGUCUGCAACUAGCCAUGGAGUUUUAGAAGACAGCAGUGCGCUUGCAAGUCGGGAAUUGAGGAAGUACCGCCAAAGGUUUACAGCUAGUAAUGUCGCACUAGCCAUUGAUUUAUGUAGCUACUAAAACAGUGGUUGUCAAACCUCUCCUUGGGGUCCAGAACUAGCACACCUGAUUCAACUUGUCAACUAAUCAUCAAGCCCUCGAUUAGGUGAAUCAGGUGUGCUAGUUCAGGGCUUAAACAAAAUGGUGAGAUGUCUAGGGGUCCCCUACUGUAGGUGAAGCUAUAUAUAGUACAGUUCGAUUAUAUAUAAUAGAA